CUGGCGACAACGGUCUUGUGUUAACGUUAAACAAAUUAAGCCGCGACCAUAAGUGGCCAUGAAGUUGAUAGCGUCUGCACUGAUGUGCUCGGCCGCCAUAAUCA
rnacentral:antisense_RNA from 1 species